rnacentral:rRNA from 1 species
GUCUAUAACCAUACCAUUCUAACACACCCAACCUUGUCUGAUCUCGGCGGCUAAGCAGGGUCAGGCCUAGUUAGUACUUGGAAGGGAAAUCUAAUACCAUUUAACAGGCUUAAAGACA